UCUGCUGACAGUGAAGAGGUCAUGCUAAAUCAAACUGACGGAGAAACUGGACAUCAGCUUAGCCAGGAUGCCCAAAUUAAUACUACUGAAACAAAAGUGCAUUUCUAACGUCACCAGUGGUUUAAGUGGACACACAUCAAAUGCAAACAGAAUGGACAGGAGAGAAUCGAAUCAUCACUUGAAUGAAGACAGUCUGUGAGCAGUGGAACUCAUAAAAGGUGCAUAAGAACCAAGUUGGAGAAAAACUGGCUUUGGAAACACUAGCAGAUUCUUUCUAGAAAGAAAUGGAUCUUGGAACUAAGAAGAUAAAUGAGACUGAGAACACAAGAGAAACCCAAACAGAUAGUCCCCUUUGUCUCUCUGGCGACAGCUAACAGACAUGAGUUGCUAAGUCAGCAGGCAGGAGAACGUGUGAGAUGCAAAGUUAAGAACAUAAAAGAACUAUUGUCCUACUCAAGAUAAUCCAAGAGACUGUAUUACAGGAAGUCAGCCUUGGUGUACUCUGUCAUUUUGGCCGGCAUCAUACAGGCAAGAAGGAAAGGGAUGUUCUCUUGAGGUACCCAGCAGAUGAAUGCCAGAUGGUACUGUCAUAAUACACAAAAAAUAGCUAAAUACCUACUGGUGGUGUUCAAUACAAAAGGAACAUUUUUCUUUUUCUGAAUCCUGCAGGGCAGAACUCAGAAAGGCAUCUUAACACAAACACUGCAGUAACUGAAAUGUGAAGCUGGAAAUUCAAAGAAUUCUCCAAAAGCUCUAAAUAGCUUUUUAGGAUCGAUUCAUGUUGGGCCCAAUGGAUCCCCAAAGGGGAGAACAGUCUAUCACAGACGAGCAUUUUAAGUCCAGCAUAUUCACAUGGUAGGUAAAUAGGAGUUUGUUACGUCAGACAGGGAAGCGUGAUGAAGAACGAAAUGAUGGUGCGUUGCUGAUGAGGCUGAUGCUGCCCGCACUGUCUGGCUGAGCAGAUCCAAUCCCCAGUACAGUGCCUAUGCGCCUGUGUCAAAUUGAGUUUUACUUUUCUGUGAGGAAGUUUCUUCCUUGGUGGUUUCAAAUCUCAGUCAGGAAUGCUUAGAGAAAAAUCUCAGGCUGCUGUCAGCAUCAUCACAGGGGCUUCUUCUGGAUGCUUCACUGAGAGGAAACAUGUUUACUUUUCCCAUGUUAAAACGCGUCCAUUUCAAUUUCCAUGCAAGAUUAUAAGAGCAAAAAUAUGCAGCCCUCUGGGGGAAUGGCAUUUGACUAAAUACCACGCGUUGCUACAAACCUUAGAUGCAAAGGGCCACAUGCAAACAUUUACAUAGAGGAGCAUUUCGGAUAUGGAGCCGAGUGCUAUAGGAAACAUAUUUCUGACUGCAUGGCUGCUUUGAGCCCUGAUAUUUAUUGCCUACAGAUGAAGGCCGAGUAGGUAACGUUAUUCUGUGACAGAACGCGAACGCUUAGCUCUGCCUUUUAUCUCUUAUCCAUAGACCCUGUCCACCAGGAUUUAUACUGCCCGUUUUCCUAACAGCCAAGCGUACCUAGUUUGCUAAAGCAAUAUGCUGGUUUACACAUCCCUCAAUUAUUAAUGUUCUGUAUUCUGGCCUGAGCAAAGGAAGUCUUCCUCAGAGCUUCCCAGAAAUGCCACUAAACUCUUGUCUGACCAUUGUCUUCAGUGGUUGCUCUUCGUUCAUUAGCUAGGAUAGCUGGUGCUGAAAACCAAACAGAAGGUAUUGACAGACCACAGAGAGCUGUCUGUUGCUGCAGAUGGAGGAUACCUCUAGGAUUUGGGUCAGGAAGCACUUGGCAAGCGGCCCUCUGAAUUCUUCUUGUCACAUGUUGAGGAAGCCUGUGUAGUGGCAGGGGUGAAGGAGGAAGCUCAAAUUUUAAAAUGGCUGCGAUCUGAUUUUGUUGUUGUUUAGCAUCAAAGCUAUUUACAGCAGAUCUUGCCAAUUUAUUCAUACUGCUUCUGUCAUGGAUUUUUCCUGGUUCUUUACUUUCAGAACAGAAGUACAAAAAACAGCACACAAGCUUCUGUCCCAUUGAAGUUUGCAAUGGCAAGAAAAAUUAGGCUUACUUCUGCCCGUUUAGGACCGGACUCUGCAGAGGUACUAUAAGAAGUCGUUUGUUUUCUUUCAACACAGUUCAACUUCAGACAGGCGCACACACAUUCAGAUGGUUUCCACUUGAAAUUCCUCCUCUAAUCCCAGCAGCUCUCAGAUUUGACUGCUGAGCUGUGAAAGGGCUCCUCCCUGCCCUCCAUCCAAAAGCUGCAAUUGCCAGGCCUGGGAAGGACGUCAGUCCUGAAGUUUGCAUGCUUUCUUUUUUUUUCAGAUACGCCUUAAAAAGCCUUCAGUCUCUUUCUCUGCUGCUUGUGAAAAGAAGCAGAGCGAUAUCUGGAGGACUUCUUCAAUUUUUGGAGUCUGUCCUUACCAUACAUUGUGCCGUCUUUGGCAUAGAGGAGACUUGACAUGCCUGACAGUCAGGCAGGUAUUCAUGUAGUGGGGGGAGGAAACAGGAGUGACUUGUACCAUUACACUGUACCCUCACUGCUCAAUCUGUGUAAGCUAACAUGCCAUGGUUAUACUUCUUCAAUAGACUGUUUUAAGCAAAUAAAUACCUUUUUACCUCUCUCUUUUAAAGUAUAAAUGGGUUAUGUAAGAUUCAGGAUGGAUAGAUGGAUGGUGGCAGAACUGUUGGACCCUGCUGCACAACACUGUUGGCUUGCAGACUCUUCUGCCCAGGUAGUCUCUUUUCCUAGGAACAGAAAGGAACACCUUCCUUUGCCUAGAAAUGGCCUCUUUCUGGCACUGAAGCUGCAGGCAGUGGGCAUGAAGCUGGCCUGGAAGGAGUAAUUGGAGAUGGGAGAAUGCCCUUGGUUUGGUCGAGGCCCUGGGGAUGCUGAGCUGUAUUACCCCGACUUUGUCAGAUUCCUUUAUUUUUAUGGGAUCUUGCAAAUGCAAUUUAUCAGCCACAAUGCAGUAUAUCAGCAGCUUGUUUCAUGUCUAACCAGAAGGAAUUAUUUUGCAGAUAAAUCUGUGUCCAGAUAUCAUUUGGGGAAGCAGUUGGUGUGUAAAUACAUGUUGACCAGACUUUAUUUAUAUUUAUGUUGCCAUACCAGUUAUGUUGCUCAUCGAUACACGUUAGGCACUACAGAGAUACAAAAUCGUAUUUCAAGAAGCGUAUUUAAAUAUAUCGUAUAUCUUUU
ensembl:lncRNA